rnacentral:tRNA from 1 species
GCCUGGAUAGUUUAGUUGGUAGAGCAUGAGACUCUUAAUCUCAGCCCAUGGGUUUGAGCCCCACAUUGGGUG